rnacentral:siRNA from 1 species
CCAGUGCUCUGCAACGAGCUGUG